rnacentral:rRNA from 1 species
GACGAACGCUGGCGGCGUGCUUAACACAUGCAAGUCGAGCGGUAAGGCCCUUUCGGGGGUACACGAGCGGCGAACGGGUGAGUAACACGUGGGUGACCUGCCUUUAGCUCUGGGAUAAGCCUGGGAAACUGGGUCUAAUACCGGAUAUGACUCCGCGGUGCAUGCUGUGGGGUGGAAAGCCUUGUGCGGCUGGAGAUGGGCCCGCGGCCUAUCAGCUUGUUGGUGGGGUGAUGGCCUACCAAGGCGACGACGGGUAGCCGGCCUGAGAGGGCGACGGGCCACACUGGGACUGAGACACGGCCCAGACUCCUACGGGAGGCAGCAGUGGGGAAUCUUGCGCAAUGGGCGAAAGCCUGACGCAGCGACGCCGCGUGAGGGAUGACGGCCU